rnacentral:antisense_RNA from 1 species
GGGUCAUCAAUCUGUACAUUGCCUGAGAGCAGCUGUGUGUGCGCUGGAAGGGACAAGACCAGGUACCUGUCGGGGGAUGCGGCCGUGGUACCAGGCAUGGCUGCGCAGGUCCUCGCUGCUCAGCAGCAGCUCCUCCUCCAGCUCCUUCUUCAGCUUCUCAGGGGUCCUGUCCAUGAUGUGCCUCUCCUUGGAGAACUGAAACACAGAGUCAACCAUGAGCUCACCCUGCCCAGGCCACACCAGGCCAUGCCAGCUGGAGGUGACCGCCUGCUUCACUAAUCCAACCAGUUAUGCUAAAGCCUGCGUUCAGGGAGAUGUGGCCAUAGGACUCAGUUCUGACCAAGGAGCUGAGAAGUGAUGGCUGGAGCCUCAACACCAUUCUGGACGGUGAGUGGGGAGCCACACCAAGGAAUGGCUGGGUGGAAGGUCUGAUUGAGGCUGGGUCCCUGAUGACUGUGGGGCCAACACACCAGCCCUGGACCUCCAGCCUCCAGGUCUUCUAGGUGAUCUACCUUAUGGAAGCCUGUGAUUUGUGGGUGUUCCCGUCACUGGCGGCUGAACUAAAUCCUAACCCAUAUUGUGACCUGACCCCCAUUGAGUCACCCUGACAGACAGUCUGCAGGCUUAGCCUAAAUCCCUUGUGCUGCACCCUGGGCCCACUUCUUGGUCUGACCUCUGAAAAUGUGGAGAUCUGAAAACAUACAGUAGGUCUUGCACAGUU